AAUUAGUUAUAACUAAAACCAAUUUCUAUCAAUUUGAAAUGAAUUAUACAAAACGUAUAUAACAACAUUUUAUGGCCUAAAAUGCUUUUAUCAAAAAAUUUUCUCCCCUUCCAUCUUUUGUUUAGCCAUAUAUCAAUUUUACUUAAUAUUAAUUAAUGUGCCCAUGUAUGCUACAUUAUUAUUAAUAUAGGAUAAACUUAAGUUGAAUCAAGGAAAAAAAAUUGAAGGAGAUGGAAACCAUAAAUUAACUUUCUAUCUAUUUACUAUUAACAUUUGCAGACAACUAUAUAAGAUAUUUUAAAUUUGUUCUAACUUUUUAAAGUCUAAGCUUAUUAUGCACUUGGCAGUGACACUAUUUAUGUUAUAUAAAUCUCUUAUAUUACGG
rnacentral:misc_RNA from 1 species